CUCUAACACAGGGCAGGAAACUAUGUAAGACCCCCUUUCGGGGACCCCCACUCUAGUCUCGGGAGUGAGAAAGCACACAAAAAACCCAAACAAACAA
rnacentral:pre_miRNA from 7 species